GGGCGAGUGGCGGAACUGGCAGACGCGCAGGGUUUAGGACCCUGUGUCCGCAAGGACGUGGGGGUUCAACUCCUCUCUCGCCCA
rnacentral:tRNA from 1 species